GCCUGCCUAGCUCAAUCGGAUAGAGCGUCAGACUUUUAAGCUCAUCUUGAGUUGUUGGCAUCUGAAGGCUGCGGGUUCGACCCCCGCGGUGGGCU
rfam:Phlebia centrifuga strain FBCC195 PHLCENscaffold_2640, whole genome shotgun sequence.